UGCCAGCAGCCGCGGUAAUACGGAGGGGGCUAGCGUUGUUCGGAAUCAUUGGGCGUAAAGGGCGCGUAGGCGGCUUGACAAGUCAGUGGUGAAAUCCCUCGGCUCAACCCCGGAAGUGCAUUUGAAACCCCCGAGCUUGAGUAUGUGAGAGGGAAGUGGAAUUCCUGGUGUAGAGGUGAAAUUCGUAGAUAUCAUCAGGAACACCAGCGGCGAAGGCGGCUCACUGGGUCUUUUCUGACGCUGAGGCACGAAAGCUAGGGUAGCGAACAGGAUUAGAUA
rnacentral:rRNA from 1 species